AUCCAUUUUCUGCCACCGAAUACAUUAGCAUGGGAUAAUGGAAUAGGACCCUGUCCUCCUAUUUUCAGUUGGUUUUGGCAGCGCGAGGACUAGGGUAAUGAUUAAUAGGGAUAGUUGGGGGCAUUAAUAUUUAAUUGUCAGAGGUGAAAUUCUUGGAUUUAUGAAAGAUUAACUUCUGCGAAAGCAUCUGCCAAGGAUGUUUUCAUUAAUCAAGAACGAAAGUUAGGGGAUCGAAGACGAUCAGAUACCGUCGUAGUCUUAACCAUAAACGAUGCCGACCAGCGAUUAGGAGACGUUGAAUACAAAACACCACCAUCGGUUGCGGUCGUCCUUGGCGUCUCGGUUUCG
rnacentral:rRNA from 1 species